UCAAUUAUGAUCAUUUUGUAC
rnacentral:siRNA from 1 species